rnacentral:rRNA from 1 species
GAUGAACGCUGGCGGCGUGCUUAACACAUGCAAGUCGAACGAAGUGGCGGAUGGGCGAGUAACACGUGAGGAACCUGCCUUUAACAGGGGAAUAACACUGGGAAACCAGUGCUAAUACAGCAUAGUGAAAGAUGGCCUAGCGCCUGUUUAGCUAGUAGGUGAGGUAACGGCUCACCUAGGUGAUGAUCAGGAGCCGGCGUGGAGGGUGAUCGGCCCCAUUGGGACGGGGACCCGGCCCAGACUCCUACGGGAGGCAGCAGUGGGGAAUAUUGGGCAAUGGCGCAAUCCUGACCCAGCAACGCCGCGGGAAGGAAGACGGUCUUCGGAUUGUAAACUUCUUUAGACAGGGACGCGGUACCUGUAGAAUAAGCCACGGCUAACUACGUGCCAGCAGCCGCGGUAAUAC